AACCUUACCUGCCCUUGACAUCCGGAUGAAUAAGGGGUAAUGCCCUUAGCCCUUCGGGGYAUCCGAGACAGGUGGUGCAUGGUUGUCGUCAGCUCGUGUCGUGAGAUGUUGGGUUAAGUCCCGCAACGAGCGCAACCCCUAUCUUCAGUAGCCAGCAUUCAGGAUGGGAACUCAGGAGAGACUGCCCGGGACAACCGGGAGGAAGGCGGGGAUGACGUCAAAUCAUCAUGCCCCCUUAUGGGCAGGGCUACACACGUGCUACAAUGGCGAAAACAGAGGGAAGCGAGCCGGUGACGGUAAGCAAACCCCAAAAACAUCGUCCCAGUUCGGACUGUAGUCUGCAACCCGACUACACGAAGCCGGAAUCGCUAGUAAUCGCGGAUCAGAAUGCCGCGGUGAAUACGUUCCCGGGUCUUGUACACACCGCCCGUCACACCAUGGGAGUCGGAAAUGCCCGAAGUCAGUGACCUAACCUUUAAGGGAGGAGCUGCCGAAGGUGGAGCCGGUAACUGGGGUGAAGUCGUAACAAGGUAGCCGUAUCGGAAGGUGCGGCUGGAUCACCUCCUUUCUAGGGRA
rnacentral:rRNA from 1 species